rnacentral:lncRNA from 1 species
UUAUGUCAAAGGAAGUAUUUAUGAUUGCUUACUCUUUUUCACAUUAAUAUUUCUGUAUAAAGUCAGCAACAAUUUUGUAGGCAUCAGUAGUUGUUUAUAAUGCUUACCGUAGAGCUUUCAUGAGCAUUACAGUGACUCAGAGAAAUCACGAAAGAAGGGUAACACGGGUUUUCAUAUUCAUUAGCUGUUGGUAUAGCGAUUAUUGGCUAUCCCUUUUAUGAUCAAAACACAAGACACAAGCUAUUUUAUAUAUCCUGAUGGUAAGGAUAUCAUAAGUGAAGAAUGAAGACUUGACAAGAUCACAUGUGCCUAGGUAACUGGUGCAUAUGCAUCUGAUGCUUUUCAUUGAGAAUUCUACAUAUCCUGAUGGUAAGGAAAUCACAAGUGAAGAAUGAAGACCUGCCAAUAUCUCAUGUGCAUCAGGUAGUUCAUGCAUAUGCAUCUCAUGUUUUUCACUGAGAAUGGCAGCUUUGCUUGUCAUCCUAGAUCAGAUGAUACCUCUUGGUGUAUCUGUCCUAAUCUAUUGGGUCUAUAUGUAUGCAUGUCUAAAUGCUUUUGUUAUUUGUGUAUCAUUAGUUUGAAUUCCCCUGUUUGAAUUCAAAUCCCCUUUAGCAAAACAUUUGUCGUUGCCUUGGUGCUUCAAGUUAGUCUAGGGUUGUGUAGUGUUUCCAACCCGUGACCACAUGACUAGAGCUUAGAGGCUCCAGCUAGGCUUGUGAUACACAAACUAAUAUAUUAGCUGGCUAUUUGUUUUUAUCUCAUAUACAUCAGGUAGUUCAUGCAUGUGCAUCACAUUCAUUCAGGAUGGCAGCUCUGCUUGAUAUCCAGAUUUGGUGGAUACCCCUGUUGUAUCUAUCCUAAUCUCUGAGUCUGACUUCGUGCAGAUUUAAAUGGUUUUGCUUCAGCUUUUCAGUAUUUGAAUUUCAAAUCUCUUUUAGCAAAACAUUUUUCAUCGUGCUUGAGCUCCAAGUUAGUCUAGGGUUGUGUUGUUCUUCCAACCCAUGAGCACAUGACUAAAGCACUUUUAGGUCAGCUCCUUUUUGAGUCCAGCUGGGUUUUGUGAUACACAAACCAAGUCAGCUGCUGAGCCAUGUGAUGCACUGCCCAAGCUAUCAGCUGGCCUAUGUGUCCUCAUAUAGGAAUAGGUUUUGUUGUGUCUCCUUCAUUCACAAAACCUUUUGUUUCUUUCUUAUUGGACCAUUAUCAUAUAAGAGAGUUGUGUUUGUCUUUACUCUCUUGGAGCCUUUUGUUUGUCCCUUGGCCUUCUCACUUUAUGAGUUUGGACAAGGACUAAAAUCCAAAAGUUGCCUCUCAUUUUGGUAAACGGGCAUGCUCUCCUUUAGCUUGCACUUUGCCUAUAUAUAUGGAGCAAGUCUCUUCUUGCUCCUUGGUUGUUCAAGAUGUAGUUUUCUACAUAGUUUUAGCUGGGUAUAGGUUUUACCUUGCAUUGCUCAUUUGCCUCUAAGUCUUCCGUUGGUGAUUGUAAAUCUUAGAGCAAGAGCAAGAGCAAAAACUCUUUUCAUAAACCCAUUAGCAUUCUGCAUAUCAUGAGUGAUGGUAGUGCAGCAACCCCAGAAGUACUCAAGAAGGAUCAGUUGAUCGAGGAGAGCUGAGUUCUAGAGAGUCAGUUAAAGGUGUUAGCUGAGGUCUGAAGAAUCUCUCUAAUUAGGAUAGCUGAGUUCUGAGUUGAGUAUUCUGAGAAGUGUUCAAGAAGAAUCAGUUAAAGGCAUUAGCUGAGUUCUGAGUUGAAACUUCUUCUUAUACCUUCAUAUGUAAACACUUGAGAGACAAGAGAGGUAGAUCUAGACUAGUAGGUAGACUAGGCAGGAUAGCAAGUCGUUGUUGUAUCCCUAGACUAUAAUCUUGUGAGGAGUGAGGUGAGUCACUCAGAGACAAGAGAGAUAGAUCUAGACUAGUAGGUAGACUGGGCAGGAUUGCAAAUCGUCGUUGUAUCCCUAGACUAUAAUCUUAUAAGAAGUGAGUUUUACAUAGUGGAAAGGUUUGUCCCUCAAGAGUUAGGGCACACAGUUUUUCUCCCUGGUGCAGGGUUUUUGCGAAUAAAAAACGUACUGGUGUUAUUUCUUUUACUUUCCAGUACUUGUUCUUUUAUUUAUUACUACGUCUCCUUGUUAUCAGGAUAGCUAAAUGUUUGCUAUCCUUGUGAACGAAAUUGGACGAAAAAGUAAUAAAGGCCUAUUCACCCUCCCUCUAGAACCUUCAUUAGCUCUCUGAAGAGCUGUUGAUUUUCUAAGUUCUAUGAUCUCAGGUCUCUCUUGUAGGAAACUUCUUCUUGUGCUAGACAAGCCAGCAGCAGCAUGUUUGAUGUUGCUUUGUGCUUUAGUACCACGACAACUUCUAUUUCUCCUGUAAAGCUGCGAUGCUGAGGUAGAUUUUCUCACUGUUUUUGAGCAUGGUGGAAAAUCAUCAAGGCCUGCAAUAUAAUCAUCAUCAUUUAUGUCGUCAUCUUCGUCCUCGUCACCAUCAUCUUCAUAUUCAUCCUCAUUACCCUCAUCUUCAAAACCAACUCCAUUACUCGCAUCACCCUCAUCUUCAUCCUCAUUACCUUCAUCAUCCCCAUCAUCAAUCUGCAUCCUCCUAAGAACCUCAUCUUCAUCCUCAUUACCCUCAUCAUCAACCUGCAUCCUCCUAUGAAUCUCAUUUUCUCGUGUUAGGAGUCUUCGUGUGGUAAAGGUACCUCUCCCAUAUUUUUCAUUGGAACAACCAUCUUUUCCUGUCAAAGAUGAGAAAUAAUCGUCUCUGUCAAUCUGUCUUUCACUUGGUAAUGAACUAUGAUAUAUAUGGUAUCUUCUGCUGGAUUUACUCCAAGCAAAUGAGAUUAAAAAGUUAACUGAUGACUGAUGAGUACUAAUAAGGUGGAAGUUCCAUAUUCAACAUAUGCAGGGUAGGGGAAAAUGAGAACUGGAAACAAUAUCCUGAUGUCAUUAGUCAACAAUCAACAUAAAUGAACACUUCAACAACUUAAUUUCAAACCAUAAUGUACUACUUUUAUUUCUCUCUAAUUAGACAAAAAAUCUUUUAUUACCGCCAUGUAAUAAUGUCUCUGAUUUAUGCGCCUUUCAAACCAGAAAAAUGGAACCUGAAUAAUAAAUCUCUAGUGCUUACUGCACAAACAUAACCAAAUUCACAUACAUACCUCCAUAUACAUUGUGCUCCUCAUUUCUGCUAGAACUUAAUGGAAAAUCAUAGUUAAUCUCGAUAUUAGUCCUAUCAUAAAGCCAUACUUUGAAACACGAUUUUUUGCCUUCGUAAAGUGUAAAGUGUAGCCAUGUUCGAGGGAAUACACUUCCGCAAAUUCUGGCCUACCUCUUUCUGCCCACAUCUCCCCCUUGGACAUCGUCAGUUGCAUUGGAUAUGCUUUUCCAUUUGGAACCUCAAGCAUUUUUUAAUCAGACUAUAAGAACAUGCUAAUAACAUCCGCUAUAUAUGAGCUAUGUCACAUAUGAGCUUUCUGCUGGAUCAUUAGUUAGCAGUUACCUAUGUCUCAGCAAAAGGAUGAACAAAAUCUCUCGUUAUCGAAGUGAGGUAUAGAAGCAUACAUACUUGUUUGUUCUUCACUCAAGAAUGUACACUAUAUGCUUGUGGCGGUUUGAACAAGUAAAGUUGAGUACAGUAAUAUAUGCAUGAUUCAAUUCAGCUCAUGGUUUAUGACUCUUGAGAUGCAUAGAUGCAUUUGUAGGUGAUUUUUAGCUAUUUCAACUGUGAGCGAACAAUGAUUUUGUUCAAAACGGGGAAUCAAACAAAAGCUGUUGGGACAGGAAUUAGCAGUUAAAGAGUUUAUGACCUCCAUGGCCUGGCCUCUUGAACAAGGCAUGUACUGAGUUACAACCAGUAUAUACCAAUGUUCUAAUACCAAUGAGGCAAUAAUUAAGUACUACAAUCCAUAAUAACACAUAAGCUGAUCAGAACAUAAGUUUAGGCUCACAAAUCACAAUAUGAACGAUCAUAAAGUUUAUUCAAAGUUCAAACAGAAGUUUUACUGAAAAAAUACCAAUGUUUUAAUACCAAUACGGCAAUAAGUAAUACAAUCCAUAAUAAUACAGCCAAUUAUCAUAACAUAACUGUAAGGCUCACAAUAUGAACGAUCAUACAGUCAACAGCUGCAAAGUUCAGACAUAUGUGUUGCCGAAAAAGUGAACCACCAUGCAAACAACCGUCUUGUUUGUGCUCUCAAGCUCAAAAACACAGACUUUACCAUUAUCGACUUUGUUAUCUUUUUUAAAAUCAGGCCAUCCAGCAUUCACCCUUAAAGAACUCUUAAAAUGGUAACCAGUACAAUUCCACGUUGCUCCCUCUGAAUUUUUCAGGAUGAAUGUGUAUUGUCGCAAAGGAAGAUGCUUCUUUCUGAACUUUGAGGGGAUAACCUGCAAUGAGUAACAUUGUUUGUGUCAGUUGAAACCUUAACAAAUGAAGAGGCAGAGGCAGUGGUUUUAAAUGAUACAGAACAUAUGGGGAAUGAAAGCUGGUAAUGAUAAUUUUGGUUGCUAGAUUACUAACCAAAUAAAUUUUUUCUUAAUGAUUUCACAUACACAUUCCUAAGAUUCGAUCAGUCUCUACUAUUUGGUCUGGUGUCUACUAUUUGGUGUGGUAAAGGUAAACACACACACACACACACACACACACACAUCUAUACUGAUCUAGAAAUACAAAUUGGAGGCAUUGAAUAGGCAAGGGUAACUAACUGUUUAUACUUCCUAAGUUUAAGUAUCUAGAAUAAAUGUUUACCAUUCUGUUUUGAACUCUCAGAUCAAGAGACUUAAAAAUCAAACAAAAGGGAAGACAAAGACAAAGAAAAGGAUGGUUCAUCUUACCAUAUAAUUACCACCUUUAAGAAUGACUCUAAAAGUGGGGUACCUGGAUAAUGCAGCGAAUUCCUCAGAUUUAUUGAAAGGGCAUAUCCUACACAUAGUUAGAUAAAUUAGCAGAGCAGUGAGGUAUUCCAGUAAUACUAUGUAUUUCUGCAGUAUAUACCUGACCAUACCUGAACUAAGAGAACUUCGAACAAGUGCUCCGAUCUGAACGCUCAAGUAUGUCUGAAUGCUGAAAUGCAUUUUACCAUCAUAUUCGAGUACCAGAAACUCAAAGGCACCCUUACCAUCCAAGGAGUUAUCAUAUAAAAACUCCUCCCAGCCCUCCUUGAAACAUAAACCGCCUUCUUCAGUUUUAUGUACUCUUACAUUCCAUGCACAAUAGGUAGAAUUCUUUAGCUUGAAAGUUGCCCUUUUAAAGAGUUCAUUCACCAUACGGUUUCGGAUAUGUGGUGGGAUUGUCUUCAACAAAAAGGAAUAUCAGAAGCUAAAACUUAAAACUAUAUAUAUGCAUAUUGAUGGAAUGUCUUCAAAAAUUGAGAAAAACACUCACCAAACAAAAUGCAGACCAAGGCCUAAUCGUGAGGCAUGUAAAAGCAGAGAUUUUCUUUGAAUCAAAAGCAGCAGAUAUAUAUGUGGCACACCAGUCAACAAUAUUG